AGCACUGUUUCGGCAAGGGGGUCAUCCCGACUUACCAACCCGAUGCAAACUGCGAAUACCGGAGAAUGUUAUCACGGGAGACACACGGCGGGUGCUAACGUCCGUCGUGAAGAGGGAAACAACCCAGACCGCCAGCUAAGGUCCCAAAGUCAUGGUUAAGUGGGAAACGAUGUGGGAAGGCCCAGACAGCCAGGAUGUUGGCUUAGAAGCAGCCAUCAUUUAAAGAAAGCGUAAUAGCUCACUGGU
rnacentral:rRNA from 1 species